UAUCUCCUGUCUCCAUUUGGUCUUAGUACUUGAGACUGAUGGGAUAUGGAGAUCUGCUGAUUUUCUUGUAUCUCCUGUCUACAUUUGGUCUUAGUACUUGAGACAUUUUUCUCAUCAAGUGCCCCAGAUCUUCUAUCAAUCAUGUCUUCUUUGGUUAAACUUGCAAUUUUUUAAUAAUUAAUGGAGAUAGUGCACGUAUUAUUUUUCCUUUGUUGUAUCCCUUGAAUGGGACUUCACUUAUAGAAGUAUUAUUUUAAACAUGUCAUCUUUUAAUCAUUUAUUUUCAUUCAGGGUAGGCUACCGGUGGAUCACA
rnacentral:misc_RNA from 1 species